rnacentral:rRNA from 1 species
UACGGGGGGGGCAAGCGUUGUUCGGAAUUACUGGGCGUAAAGGGCUCGUAGGCGGCCAACUAAGUCAGACGUGAAAUCCCUCGGCUUAACCGGGGAACUGCGUCUGAUACUGGAUGGCUUGAGUUCGGGAGAGGGAUGCGGAAUUCCAGGUGUAGCGGUGAAAUGCGUAGAUAUCUGGAGGAACACCGGUGGCGAAGGCGGCAUCCUGGACCGAUAUUGACGCUGAGGCGCGAAAGCCAGGGGAGCAAACGGG